CCUACGGGAGGCAGCAGUGAGGAAUAUUGGUCAAUGGACGAGAGUCUGAACCAGCCAAGUAGCGUGAAGGAUGACUGCCCUAUGGGUUGUAAACUUCUUUUAUAUGGGAAUAAAAUGUUCCACGUGUGGGAUUUUGUAUGUACCAUAUGAAUAAGGAUCGGCUAACUCCGUGCCAGCAGCCGCGGUAAUACGGAGGAUCCGAGCGUUAUCCGGAUUUAUUGGGUUUAAAGGGGGGGGAGGUUGAUUGUCAAGUCAGUUGGGAAAGUUGGGGGCUCAACCGGAAAAUUGCAGUUGAAACUGGCAGUCUUGAGUACAGUAGAGGUGGGCGGAAUUCGUGGUGUAGCGGUGAAAUGCUUAGAUAUCACGAAGAACUCCGAUUGCGAAGGCAGCUCACUGGACUGCAACUGACACUGAGGCUCGAAAGUGUGGGUAUCAAACAGGAUUAGAUACCCUAGUAGUC
rnacentral:rRNA from 1 species